GAUGAAGAACGUAGCGAAAUGCGAUAAGUAGUGUGAAUUGCAGAAUUCAGUGAAUCAUCGAAUCUUUGAACGCACAUUGCGCCCUUUGGUAUUCCAAAGGGCAUGCCUGUUCGAGCGUCAUUUACCCCCUCAAGCUCCGCUUGGUGUUGGGCGUCUGUCCCGCUUCGCGCGCGGACUCGCCCCAAAGGUAUUGGCAGCGGUCGUGCCAGCUUCUCGCGCAGCACAUUGCGCUUCUCGAGGCACCGGUGGGCCCGCGUCCAUCAAGCUCACCCCCCCAGUUUGACCUCGGAUCAGGUAGGGAUACCCGCUGAACUUAAGCAUAUCAAUAAGCGGAGGA
rnacentral:misc_RNA from 1 species